rnacentral:tRNA from 1 species
GGAAGCGAAUGUGACCCUGGUGGGCGCCACAGCCUUCAAAGCUGAUGUGUCGGGUUAAACUGACAGAUGAGUUCGAUUCUCAUACGCUUCCGCCA